CUUUACUGUAGCUUUGUAUUGGACUUUGAACAGAUCUGUGUAGGAUAGGUGGGAGGCUUUGAAGCGGUAGCGCUAGCUAUCGUGGAGCCAACGUUGAAAUACCACCCUGGUGUGUUUGAGGUUCUAACCUUGGUCCAUUAUCUGGAUCGGGGACAGUGCAUGGUAGGCAGUUUGACUGGGGCGGUCUCCUCCCAAAGUGUAACGGAGGAGUUCGAAGGUACGCUAGUUACGGUCGGACAUCGUGACGAUAGUGCAAUGGCAUAAGCGUGCUUAACUGCGAGACCGACAAGUCGAGCAGAUACGAAAGUAGGACAUAGUGAUCCGGUGGUUCUGUAUGGAAGGGCCAUCGCUCAACGGAUAAAAGGUA
rnacentral:rRNA from 1 species